rnacentral:rRNA from 1 species
CAGCCGCCGCGGGAAUACGUAGGGUGCGAGCGUUAAUCGGAAUUACUGGGCGUAAAGCGUGCGCAGGCGGUUCGUUAAGACAGAUGUGAAAUCCCCGGGCUUAACCUGGGAACUGCAUUUGUGACUGACGGGCUAGAGUAUGGCAGAGGGGGGUAGAAUUCCACGUGUAGCAGUGAAAUGCGUAGAGAUGUGGAGGAAUACCGAUGGCGAAGGCAGCCAUCUGGCCUAAUACUGACGCUGAGGUACGAAAGCAUGGGGAGCAAACAGGAUUAGAUACCCCCGUAGUCCCUGUCUCUUAUAC